UACGGGGGGAGCAAGCGUUGUUCGGAUUUACUGGGCGUAAAGGGCGCGUAGGCGGCCACCGCAAGUCACUUGUGAAAUCUCCGGGCUUAACCCGGAAAGGUCAACUGAUACUGCGGGGCUAGAGUGCAGAAGGGGCAACUGGAAUUCUCGGUGUAGCGGUGAAAUGCGUAGAUAUCGAGAGGAACACCUGCGGCGAAGGCGGGUUGCUGGACCCCACCUGACGCUGAGACGCGAAAGCCAGGGGAGCGAACGGG
rnacentral:rRNA from 1 species